GGCGGGGCCUCGAAAGUGAAACCAAAAGGCGGCGCGACGGGACCGUGCUGCGAGGACAUGAAAGAGUUGUCAAGCGUUGGAACAGGCUGCCCAGGGAAGUGGUGGAAUCGCCAUCCCUGGAGGCGAUUCUAUGAUCCCGUGCUACUCCCGCUAGUUUAGGUCGCCUGUCUGCUUGCGUCCCCGCUCAACCGCUGGCACAACCCCCAUCUGCUCACCAGGGGGCGAGUGAGAAACGGAGAAGACCUUGAGCGCCGCCAACGCUCUUCAGCCCCAGCGCUGCGUCACCAACGGCGUCGCGGUCGGGAAUCCUGAACACCGCAUCGUGCUGGGCUGCGAGCGAGAAAA